rnacentral:rRNA from 1 species
AAUGAACGUUAGCGGCGUGCCUGAUGCAUGCAAGUCGAACGGUUUGAUGGUUCGUAAGGAUUAUCGGACAGUGGCGAACGGCUGAGUAAUGCGUAAGUGACCUACCUCCAAGUGGGGAAUAACCUGCCGAAAGGCAAGCUAAUACCGCAUAUGCUGGUGAGCGUAAUGUUUAUCAGUAAAGCCUUAGGGCGCUUAGAGAGGGGCUUGCGUCUGAUUAGCUAGUUGGUGGGGUAAUGGCCUACCAAGGCGAUGAUCAGUAGCUGGUCUGAGAGGACGACCAGCCAGACGGGGACUGAGAUACGGCCCUGACUCCUACGGGUGGCAG